ensembl:lncRNA
GCUUCUCCAAGCACAGAUGAACCCCCAAGGAGUGGAACUGGUUUUGUGAAGGAAGUGUCACAUGUGAGUGGAACACAAGAUCACAAGUUGGUGUGUUAGCAGUCAACAGGUGGAGGAGGAAAACAACCCUAAUUCCAGGUCAGUUUGUCAAGGAAGAGUUGAUUCAUGGAUUGGGUCACCUGACAGGCACCAGUUACUGGAAAAGGAAUACCAAAAGCAGACACCUUUGUGAAUGGUCCAGCACUGGAGAAAAUUCUUCAGACUAAAUGACAAUAACAGAAGUCUGAAAUUUUCACUCUAAACAGAAAUCUACAGAUACCUGUAUGCCCUGCAAACCACAUCUGAAGAUGCUUCUGCAUGAUCAUAAAUAAGGAUUCCUAACUUGCUGAAGAGGACCAGAUCAAAAACCACCCCACUGUGUUGAGUUUGAAUUCUAGCCAAGCACCAGCAGCCUUCUUCUUGAAUUUACUUUAUACUUUAUUUGUUUGAUAAUUUUUAUUCACUUUCAGUUUGUGAAAAAGUGAGAGGAAGAUAUAAUUCUUUGGUCAAAGAAUAACAUAACAUUGGUCAAAACUAUUGAUGCAAGUGACAACUCAAACUUGCUUAAGUAAAAAUGUAAAUUUAGUGGGCUAACAUAAGUGAGAUUUUUCAUGGUAAAUCUUCAUGGAUCUGGGAUUAAAAUGAUACGGGCUUACACUGUCUUCCUCUCUUUUCCUGCACAUUGUGGGGGGAAAAUGGCCCCCACAACUUAGGAACCCCAACCGAAAGACACAGCUCUUCCAUAAUAGCUAUGAAAGCAGAGUCCCAUGAACUUUGAGGUGAAAUGCUACCCGCUACCCUUCAGUCUCACUGAAACUGAUUCAAGUAUCCUCUUUUGUGACCAAAGUAGGUGGAGUAACUCACUCCCCACAGGAAAAGGGACUUCUCUCACCAGUAGCAUAGUAGGAUACACAGAGAACUACUCAUUGUCUACCUAGGAAAAACACACUCUUGACCCCACAGAUGUGAACCUGGUGUGCUGAACAAGUGUGAUGUAACGAGUGUGAUUACAGUGACAAUUAAGAUAUGUCUCCUACCUUGGCUUUGAAAUGUACUCUGUUCAGGU